AAUAAAUGAAUUAUUAAAUUUAGAAAAUUUUGUAAUGCAAUAUUAAUAUACCAUGCCAAAUUCUGAUGAAAAAUUUAUUUGAAGUUAUUCAAAUAAAUUUUACCCACUGUACGCAAAAGAAAUCACUGGGAAAGGCCCAUCAUACUCCUUAAAGGAAGUCAGUAGAAUACAGGAAAUGAUACCUCAGUUCGAAAAAUUAUUAUUAGAAGACAACGAAAUCGAUGAGCUACAGAAAGAACGGUACAGGUGGAAGUUCAUAGAAGAAACACUUAGAAGAAAGCAUAUAAAUGCUAAACAAACCCAGCAAACAAGGAAAGAGAAACUUGUGAUAAAGCAAACUUACAAAUGGCUAAUGCAGAACGAGUUAUCGAUCACAAGAGAAGACAAAUCAAAGAAGCUAGUCCUACUAAAAAGA
rnacentral:lncRNA from 1 species